UCUCAUAUUUUUUUCAUUUAUCAUAUUUUGUGAUCUUCUCAAUUUACUAAUAUUGGUUUCCUAUUCUUCUUCUUUUUUUCUUUUUGCAGAAUAGUUGUUCUAAUGUUACAAGAAUAAAAAAAAAUAAAGUAAGCAAUGAAAUUCAUUUCUUCUUUACAAAGAUCUAUAAAAAGCAUAUGAAAACUCAACAUUAAUCUAAAACGUUGUGAAAGAGAAGAUAAUGAAAAUAAAAAAGAUGAAGGUUCCACUAAAUGAAAGUGAAGAAAGUGAAGGGUUCCAAGAAAGAAGAGAAACGCCAGAAAUUAGAUUAGUGAGCAAAAUAAAAACAAUAUCAUUUUUCAUCUAUUCUUUCUCCAUAUUUUUAUUCUACAAUGAUCUUUGCUC